AUAAAAGGCGGGUCCUGGCACACAAGUGUGCCAGAACCCGCCUUUAUCUCAAGGUCAUCCAGGUCAACCACCCUAACCUCAAGGUCAUCCAGGUCAACCACCCUAACCUCAAGGUCAUCUAGGUCAACCACACCCACCUCAAGGUCAUCUAG